CCGUGCUUUUGUGGGGUGCUCGAGUGGCGAACGGGUGAGUAACACGUGAGUAACCUGCCCUUGACUUUGGGAUAACUUCAGGAAACUGGGGCUAAUACCGGAUAGGAGCUCCCGCUGCAUGGUGGGGGUUGGAAAGUUUCGGCGGUUGGGGAUGGACUCGCGGCCUAUCAGCUUGUUGGUGGGGUAGUGGCUUACCAAGGCUUUGACGGGUAGCCGGCCUGAGAGGGUGACCGGCCACAUUGGGACUGAGGUACGGCCCAG
rnacentral:rRNA from 1 species